rnacentral:lncRNA from 1 species
GGAAUCCAGAAGGAGGCAGUUGGAAACAGAGUCCUUGGCUUUGAGACAACUAGGUAGAAAGUGCAGUCUUUUACUGGGUCCUGAUCCACAGAAACUUCUCUUUUCACUGACUCCUGAUACCUAUCCCUCCCCCAAACCUCCAACAAGUGGACAGAUACUGAAAAUAGGAACAGUCCACAAGAAGAAAUUACAAUCUCCUUUCUUGAACUGAGGCUUCUGCUGGGUAGGGCUAAAAGUCAGGGUUCCUCACCUUGAACCCCUCAGGGGCUUGAGGCUUUAAAGCUCAAGUCACCUCAAGUUUGGGAGAAAGGGAUUUAAAUAGUUAGGGACCACUCCUUCCUCUUUCCUUUGCCUCAACUUACCCCCCUUUCCUCAUUCCACCUUUUUUUUUUUAUUACCCCAGUAGAAUAAACUUGUGAUCUUUUAUUAAUUGGCUGAAGACUGAGUGAGGGACAUCUUAAACUGAGCUGAGAGUGAAGUGACUUCUCUUCCCCUAAGAAGAGGAGAUUGCUGAACAGCAACAAAGUGAUAGAGGGUAAUAAUCUGGCCAGCAAGGUGGAGACUCAAGUGAGAUUACAGGGAAUUCUGGGAAAUACCAAGGACUUCUGGGGAUUGAAGUCUAGGGUUCAAAUCUCCAUUUUACAAUUUUACUUCAGUUCAGUUGAAAUAUGGAACUUGAGUAACCCUUUGAGACCUCCGAUGAGCUAUGUUUCUCAGCCUGCCUUUGUGAUCUCCCUGGCUCUGCAUCAAGUUCUAAAAUGAGAACUGGAAUCGACAUUGAGCUCAAAGAAAAUAUUAGCAUUUGGCGAUCAGAAACAUGAAAGGGAGAAAGGGCUUGAAUAUAAAUCUGUCUCAGCAAUAAAACAAAUCUUCUGACUUUGUUUUAACA